GCCGUCGGCGUCGCGAGAAGCGAGCGCGAUCGACGUCGAUUGGCCGAGUGCCAAGCAGUUAGCGUUCCUUUCACCCUCGUGCGCUCGAUUUUCUUUUGCUGACGCGUGCAUGCUGCUUAAAUCGAGCGUCCGCGCUGUUGCCCUGUGCGGAUGCGGCAGGGGCGUUCAGUACAACUGAGAGAAACUGUCAAUGUCACGGCUGCGCACUGGCCGUGCUACGCGCACGUCUAUGCCCGUGUGAAAUUUGUGCCAUGAUUGCAUCACUACUGUUGCAUCUGUGAAGCAACCCUGCACCUUCGAAAUCUUCAGUACUCAGCGCUGCAUUCUAGACCAUUGAGGAUGUCUCAACGGGGGCCCCAAAAGAGCUUGUCGCUUUGAAGAGCUCGUUUCUAAAGGUUUUUCGUGGUCAUAUCAUUGGGAGAAUGGCAAACGCGUUCUCUGUCUUCCACUGGCGCAGGGUAGCCAGCUGGUCUGAGAACUGGCAAGCCUCACUGUCUUUCCAUCUAUUCCUGCUUCCUUCCUUCUAUUCCUGGAGCGUAUUACUGUCUUAUAAAGCUGUAAUUUUAAAGAAGAUGGAGCAGCACAAAAGUUACGGCCAAACA